CCAAAUUUGCUAUCAUCAGGUGACCAAUGAGAACGAGACACGUCAAUGUCACAUGAACCAUGCUGAUGAUCAUAGUGUUGUGAGUAAACCCCAAUCAUAGAGAUGGAGGAGCUUUGAGGGUGUACGAGCAAGUGGCUACCUCUCCCGAUUCAUUACAUAUGAGCAUUUAAGAUUUUAUAUACUGGUAGGUCUAUCCGCGAACCAUAAAUUUUUCUAUUCGUUUUUUUUUUCUUUUUAAUAUUAUACUUUUUAAUAAAUAUAAACCAAACAAGAGUGGUUAGAUAUUUUAGGUUGUGACAGAUCUUACAAUUUUCGUUUCGGUAGAGCUUUGAUAUUAU
rnacentral:lncRNA from 1 species